UUGACCUCNGAUCANGUAGGGAUACCCGCUGAACUUAAGCAUAU
rnacentral:rRNA from 1 species